UUUCCGUAGGUGAACCUGCGGAAGGAUCAUUAUUGUAUAACCGAGGUGCGAGGGCUGUCGCUGACCCGAAAGGUCGUGCACGCCCGAGUGCCCUCACACACAUCCAUCUCACCCCUAUGUGCACCACCGCGUGGGUCCCCCUUUGGCUUGUUCGGAGGGGGGCUUACGUUUUCACACAAACUUUGUAUGCAGUGUAGAAUGUAUUUUUUGUUUUUGCGAUCACGCAAUCAAUACAACUUUCAACAACGGAUCUCUUGGCUCUCGCAUCGAUGAAGAAUGUAGC
rnacentral:misc_RNA from 1 species